GGUAAAUAUUCUGUUUCAACAGAUUGCCAGAAAGAACUUCAGAGCAUUUCAAAGGAGCUGGAAGUGAGAGCAUCAUGUCCUUUCAUCUACUUUUCUGAAGAGAUGAGCGAUGUUUAGAAAAGAUUCACAACUUAAUUGGCAGAAGAUGCUGACUUAUACAGAAACAUACACUUAUCUAUUUCUUCUUCUCAAACGUUGGUAUAAAAUCGUGGACUUGAAUGGAACCACUCACAUAAAACUGUGUUUUGAUACACUGGUGAAUGAGGACCAUAGCACUGUUUUUAUUUCUGCUAUGCCCUAAAGCUGAGCUUAAAUUUAGAAAAGGAAGAAGAUAAAACAGUGUUAAAAGAAAUAAUUCUUUUUCCUUAGUCACAUCAGAAGCAGCAAAAACAUGGCAAAUGGCUUACUGCUAUAGUGAUUCCUCAAAUUGCUGCAUAUUAAAUUGACAUUCACUGCUUGAAUCCAUGCCUAUGUCUGCUGAGGUACUGAAUGAAAUAUUUGAACAGAAGUAACAAUAAGAGCUGAAGUUAAAAUGCUUUAUUUGAAGAUAUUGAAAAGUUCAGAUGUAUCUUUUUCAAAUGUUAUUGUCUCAUUUGACUAUGGUAUAUUCAAGAUAUAUUGGUAAAAAUUAAUGUAUUCCAUAGUAUUAGGUAAUAGCUUCAUGCCUGCAAUCUAGUUAAAGCUUUUUCAUAUAUAGUUGUUCUGAGUAAAAAAAAGCUACAAUUCAUAAGAAUUUGUGAACAUGGAUAUAGCACCAGUGAAGAAGAAAUUUCUGCCUUGCAAUCUGCACGUUGUUUUACAGAAGCUUGCAAUUUUGAGUCAGAUUUUGUUAUGUAUUGUUUUUGUUCAAAUUCUUUCUUUAAGCUAGAUGAGUAAAUCCCAUCUUCUCUGCUCUCAUCAUAGUUUUCAGCAUGUUAAUGCUACAGCCAAGAUUUUAUAUGUAUUGCAGCAACUUUUAAAAUAAGCGUCGUUUCUUUGGAUAUCCUAAAAGAUCCAUGAAUGUUAAAAUAUGAAUCAUAAAAUAUAAAUAUAUACACACAGAUGC
rnacentral:lncRNA from 7 species